GACGUAGGGCGCGAGCGUUGUCCGGAUUUAUUGGGCGUAAAGAGCUCGUAGGCGGCUUGUCGCGUCGUCCGUGAAAACUUGGGGCUCAACCCCAAGCUUGCGGUCGAUACGGGCAGGCUCGAGUUCGGUAGGGGAGACUGGAAUUCCUGGUGUAGCGGUGAAAUGCGCAGAUAUCAGGAGGAACACCGGUGGCGAAGGCGGCAUCCUGGACCGAGAUUGACGCUGAGGCGCGAAAGCCAGGGGAGCAAACGGG
rnacentral:rRNA from 1 species